rnacentral:rRNA from 1 species
AGCAGCCGCGGUAAUUCCAGCUCCAAUAGCGUAUAUUAAAGUUGUUGCAGUUAAAAAGCUCGUAGUUGAAUUUCGGGGUUAGUAGGCUGGUCGUGCCACCGGUACGUACUGGUCUUACUGAUUCCUCCUUCCUGAUGAAUUGUAAUGCCAUUAAUUUGGUGUUGCAGGGAAUCUGGACUGUUACUUUGAAAAAAUUAGAGUGUUUAAAGCAGGCUAACGCUUGAAUACAUUAGCAUGGAAUAAUGAAAUAGGACGUUCGAUCCUAUUUUGUUGGUUUCUAGGAUUGACGUAAUGAUUAAUAGGGAUAGUUGGGGGCAUUAGUAUUCAAUUGUCAGAGGUGAAAUUCUUGGAUUUAUUGAAGACUAACUACUGCGAAAGCAUUUGCCAAGGAUGUUUUCAUUAAUCAAGAACGAAAGUUAGGGGAUCGAAGACGAUCAGAUACCGUCGUAGUCUUAACCAUAAACUAUGCCGACUAGGGAUCGGAUGAUGUUAAUUUUUUAAUGACUCA